rnacentral:lncRNA from 1 species
UCAUUAAAAACUCUACUAAUAAAAUUAAUUAGUAAUCAUCACUUAUACAAAACCCUUUUAUAAAAUAUACACCUUUAAUUUAAAUUAAAUAAAACAACAACAAAUAAAGACUCUGAACCCUUCCCCGUGUCAUAAUCAGAGCGGAGCUUCACCAACAACUCGAACACCGACAAACAUACAACCUGAGAAUCUGAACCCCCAACGGUUCAGCACAAACACAAAACAGAGGGUUAGAUUAUAUAAUCAUAAC